GUGUGUGAUGAAGGGUUUCGGCUCGUAAAACACUGUUGUAAGAGAAGAAUGACAUUGAGAGUAACUGUUCAGUGUGUGACGGUAUCUUACCAGAAAGGAACGGCUAAAUACGUGCCAGCAGCCGCGGUAAUACGUAUGUUCC
rnacentral:ncRNA from 1 species